UCUACGGGUGGCAGCAGUGAGGAAUAUUGGUCAAUGGGCGCGAGCCUGAACCAGCCAAGUCGCGUGAAGGAUGACUGCCCUACGGGUUGUAAACUUCUUUUAUCAAGGAAUAAAGUGAGGCACGUGUGCCUUUUUGUGUGUACUUUAUGAAUAAGGAUCGGCUAACUCCGUGCCAGCAGCCGCGGUAAUACGGAGGAUCCGAGCGUUAUCCGGAUUUAUUGGGUUUAAAGGGCGACUAGAUGGGUUGGUAAGUCAGUUGUGAACGUUUGCGGGUCAACCGUAAAAUUGCAAUUGAUACUGGCAGUCGUGAGGACAGGUGAGGUAGGAGGAAUGCGUGGUGUAGCGGUGAAAUGCUUAGAUAUCACGAAGAACUCCGAUUGCGAAGGCAGCUUACUAAACUGCAACUGACAUUGAUGCUCGAAAGUGUGGGUAUCAAACAGGAUUAGAUACCCGGGUAGUC
rnacentral:rRNA from 1 species